CGGGAGUCGGCACUCACUGGGAGGAAGUCUGGCUCUCACAGGAAGCUCCUGUGGUGACGAUGACGAGAGGAUGGCUGCGACCCACCAGGUUGGCAGCUGGCGCCCUCGGGAACCAUCCGUGGUUCACCUCACUCUGACGACAGGCCGCGGCCUCAGCCUCCACUCUGAGGAGGAGCAGCCCCACCCCAGAUCUCCUAGGAGGGAAGAGGAGCUGAAGGUAGAAGCCAUCCACACCCAACAUGAAGCCGGCCAUGCUGCAUGAUCAAGUUCCUAAGGGAAGGGAUUCGGGAUUCAAAGAGUUUUCAUGUUGGGUCUCACUAACUUACCCAGACCAACCUCGAACUGGCAAUCCUCCUGCCUCAGCCUCCAGAGUGGUCGGGAUUACAGGAAUACACCAAGUUACCUGGCUGAACCUUGGUCAACCUCACCUACUACUCACGAGUGAUGCUACUACCCAGGUGGCCGCUCCUCUCAGAGGCUGCAGAGUUUACAGUGACAUGUCCUCAUGUAACAAGGACUGCUACCACUUCUCAGGUCUUUCUCUGGGCUGGCUAGAGGAGAAGGGCAGAGGCUGUCCUAGAAACACAGAGAUGAAGAUAUUAAGAAUACCAGGAGUGUAGCUCAGUGGUGGAGCCCUGGUUUACCACUCUCAAGGCCCUGCGUUUGGUCCCCAGAACUGGCGGGGGUGGGGAGGAAUAGUAGCAAUGAUGGCAUCGAUUUACAAGACAUCCCAAAUAAAUACUGGCCCAUCUCAUCCUCUACUCACCUUAGGGUUCACUUUCUCUUCGUAAUAGUUCCCAUGUCAAUUUAUUCCAUUUGUUCUGGUAGGAUUAGACAGUCCCCAGGGCAGCCCAUGGCCAUGGCCUUUAAAAGAUCAACUCAAGUUGACACCAGUGAAUCCCCCAAUGUCCAGGAGGGGGUGCCUGAGAGAGCAGGGCUGCUCCCAGGUAAGUCCACUCCACAAGGCCACGCCCUUCCUCCCAGGACAGGAUCCUGGAGCAGCUGGCCCCCACUCCGCCGAUGGCCAGCCAACUCCCCACUGUCCUCAAGGUGUCCCAGCCAGGAGGGCCUGGGCUUCCCAGGAAAGACGCAGCCAAAGCUCCUAUUCCCGACCUUGGCACUCGGCCAGCACCCCCACAGAAGGGAAGACUCCCCUCUGCUCUCUCCUUCAGAGGGUCUUCAAGGCACAUCAAGCCCUGGCCCCAGAGAAGGGCACAUCUGUGGCCCACAUUGUGGCGUCCACUUCCAGAUCAUUUCUGUGACUUUGGAAAAGCCACGCUUGCAUCUGGGAUUGUGAUUCUAAGUUGCUGGAGAAAGGCAGUUGUUACAUAUUGUUUAAAAUUUGUUUGAUAAAAGGGAAUUUCUUCGAAAACAUCAGACCAAGCGAGUGAUGUAAAUUUACUGUCUAUAAAUUUACAAUGUAGCAAGGGAAACUGAGCACAGUGUUUUAAUUGAUCAGUGCUGCAAGAAACAUUUCCUACAGCAGUGAAAAAGUAUGUGGCAUUGUGUUUAAUAGAGGUUAACCCAAGUGGGGAAAUAAGAUGCUCUUCUUCUGGGUGAGUCUUCCUUUUAUGGCUCUUUUUCUCUUUCUGUUCAUCUCUAUUUUUGCCAACUUUUCUAUUAAAACAAUAUAAAUGCUUUA